CCUACGGGAGGCUGCAGUGGGGAAUAUUGGACAAUGGGCGAAAGCCUGAUCCAGCCAUGCCGCGUGUGUGAAGAAGGCCUUCGGGUUGUAAAGCACUUUCAGUGGGGAAGAAAGCCUUGGGGCUAAUACCCUCGAGGAAGGACAUCACCCACAGAAGAAGCACCGGCUAACUCCGUGCCAGCAGCCGCGGUAAUACGGAGGGUGCGAGCGUUAAUCGGAAUUACUGGGCGUAAAGCGCGCGUAGGCGGUCUGAUAAGCCGGUUGUGAAAGCCCCGGGCUCAACCUGGGAACGGCAUCCGGAACUGUCAGGCUAGAGUGCAUGAGAGGAAGGUAGAAUUCCCGGUGUAGCGGUGAAAUGCGUAGAGAUCGGGAGGAAUACCAGUGGCGAAGGCGGCCUUCUGGACUGACACUGACGCUGAGGUGCGAAAGCGUGGGUAGCAAACAGGAUUAGAUACCCGGGUAGUC
rnacentral:rRNA from 1 species